rnacentral:rRNA from 1 species
UACGUAGGGUGCAAGCGUUAAUCGGAAUUACUGGGCGUAAAGCGUGCGCCGGCGGUCUUGCAAGACAGAUGUGAAAUCCCCGGGCUCAACCUGGGAACUGCAUUUGUGACUGCAAGGCUGGAGUGCGGCAGAGGGGGAUGGAAUUCCGCGUGUAGCAGUGAAAUGCGUAGAUAUGCGGAGGAACACCGAUGGCGAAGGCAAUCCCCUGGGCCUGCACUGACGCUCAUGCACGAAAGCGUGGGGAGCAAACAGG